CGACCAACAGGGUCCACACCACCAUGGGUCUACACAGACCCAGGUCCCGCCUAGGCUGGGGCUGGCUCUGUUGGCCUCUGUGCUGGGUUUCUUCCUCUGCACCGCAAGACUGGCUCUCCUGACCUCUCCAGGUGUCAUCGAACACCCUUGUGCUUGCUGUCACCCGCUGCCUGUCUGCAGGAUCCCGGAUUCCGUAUCAGGGGACCAAAAUUAGUCGGAAAAUAGGAAGCAGGUGCUCGCUUGGAUGGAACCCUGACCCUGUGCUCACACUUGUAGGAGGAGGGCUCUGCAGGCCGCCUCCCGGAACGGGAGCUUCCCAAGCCAUUGCACUUCGGAGGGGCUGUAAUUAGAGUUGCACAUUCAUUCAGUUCCCAGGAAAGUAGAACGUGCUCCAGCCAGUGAGGAAAAGGUGUUUUUAAAAAUUAGAUUGGCCGAGUGCGGUGGCUCAUGCCUUUUACCUCAACACUUUGGGAGACCAAGGUGGGAGGAUCACCUGUGGCCAGGAGUUCAAGACCAGCCUGGGCAACAGAGUGAGCCUGUCUCU
rnacentral:lncRNA from 1 species